rnacentral:rRNA from 1 species
AACGAACGCUGGCGGCAUGCCUAACACAUGCAAGUCGAACGAUCCCUUCGGGGUUAGUGGCGCACGGGUGCGUAACGCGUGGGAACCUGCCCUUAGGUUCGGAAUAACUCAGAGAAAUUUGAGCUCAUACCGGUUAAUGUCUUCGGACCAAAGAUUUAUCGCCUUUGGAUGGGCCCGCGUUGGAUUAGCUAGUUGGUGGGGUAAAGGCCUACCAAGGCGACGAUCCAUAGCUGGUCUGAGAGGAUGAUCAGCCACACUGGGACUGAGACACGGCCCAGACUCCGACGCGAGGGAGCAGUAGGGAAUAUUGGGCAAGGGGCGAAAGCCUGAUCCAGCAAUGCCGCGUGAGUGAUGAAGGCCUUAGGGUUGUAAAGCUCUUUUACCCGGGAUGAUAAUGACAGUACCGGGAGAAUAAGCCCCGGCUAACUCCGUG